CCUACGGGUGGCAGCAGUGGGGAAUAUUGGACAAUGGGGGCAACCCUGAUCCAGCCAUGCCGCGUGUGUGAAGAAGGCCCUCGGGUUGUAAAGCACUUUCAGUGAGGAAGAACGCCUGGUGGUUAAUACCCAUCAGGAAAGACAUCACUCACAGAAGAAGCACCGGCUAACUCCGUGCCAGCAGCCGCGGUAAUACGGAGGGUGCGAGCGUUAAUCGGAAUUACUGGGCGUAAAGCGCGCGUAGGUGGCUUGAUAAGCCGGUUGUGAAAGCCCCGGGCUCAACCUGGGAACGGCAUCCGGAACUGUCAAGCUAGAGUGCAGGAGAGGAAGGUAGAAUUCCCGGUGUAGCGGUGAAAUGCGUAGAGAUCGGGAGGAAUACCAGUGGCGAAGGCGGCCUUCUGGACUGACACUGACACUGAGGUGCGAAAGCGUGGGUAGCAAACAGGAUUAGGUACCCCAGUAGUC
rnacentral:rRNA from 1 species